CUAUGAGAUGCUUUGGUACUUUCUUAUUGAUAAGUAAAUUUGCACCACUUAGUCAUAAAUAUUGUCAACACACCCCUUCAGUGAACAUCAUUUAGGCUUAAUCUCUUUGAUAAUGUUUUUAAAAAUACACAGGUCCCUCUUAAACGACACCGGAUAUUACUGUGUUUGAUUGCUGUGUCUGAAGGCUCUAGGCAUUUUAUAAUGAAAGAGUUACGAUUUCGAAAAUCCCCCAAAUUAUAAAUAGAGUGCCCCACCUCUGCUUAGGCCUUAGAAGGUGAGACAACGGCCUGCCUCAACAUACCACCAGGAGCAGCUCCCCCUCAGGCAUGGGGGUGAAGAGACAGAGAAGACUAUGAGCCCAGAGGUUCCCAAGGAAGACGGUCGGCGUCGCCUGAGAGGAGGCAGACCCCUGGGCUGACCCUAGGGAGGUGCGUUCCAGAGCGGGGGCACCCUGCAGCUUCAUGCAGCAACUUAGAUCAUCCUCAGCUCUCCUCCCACUCCUGGCAGGCUGGCCAGGCAGCACCUGACGCCCCCUCCACCACCACCACCUCUGGGGGAGGUGCCCUGGGGACCACAGGGGACGCACCUCCCCCUCUGGGCAUCACUGAUGAGACGUGAGAAGAUAACCUGGCCUUUAGAGCACCCUGUCUGUGGCCCAUGGUUACAGCCACCCGUGGACACUGGAACACUGGCCUGCAGAUUAUUUUCACUCUGAAACGGAUCGAGAAUGACACACCAUUUGGCAGCAAUUUCUUUUCCUCUCCACCCCCAGGACACAGCCACAGAUUGAUGGCAUCCCUUUAAGACUCCAACCCGAAAUUUUG